AAAAAAAAAAAAAAAAGGAAAGAAUCGCAAAAGAGAACUCAAUACCAGCUACAAAACGACGUAGCAUAGGGGGGUGUAGGGAACACACCCUACACUAGGGUGUAGGGUAAAAUUUUCACGUGCCUAGUAAGUGAAGUUUGUGAAAAUUCUGCUUCUCCUAACUUCCAAUUUCAAAAUUAAAGGCACGUGGCUGAUGUGGGUCCAGGGAACUAAAAUUAUCUUUUAUGCCACCUUUUGAAGGUUUUACAAGUUCGCUGAGAACACCCCACCGUAGCCACUACCUGCAGCCAACAAGCCUCCUUUCGGAUCACCUUCUAAAACAAACAGUCCAAUCACUGAUUUUCACACCGGCGAAUUAUCCACCAUGGUCUCCUGGGUGGACCUUCAAACUCGCCUCUGCCUAUGUUGUCGUUGGCGACGAAACAGAAAAGUUUCACACUUCGUUACUUUCCUUUGUCAUCCUCUGAUCUUAAUGGAAGCUUCUUACUUAUGUCUUCUCUUUCCACCCCAUCAACUACCAUCUCAUGUUCUUCUAGUAUCUAAAUUAUUAAAACAUCCUAAAAUACCCUUAGCCUACUGAUAUUGAUGCAUAACAUGUGAUUUCUAAAAAUUUCAUAUAAGUUGCAACAAUGUUUUAUUUCUUUGUUUGGAAAUUCUUUGUCCCUAUCUUUCUUUCUCCAUUAAACGCUCAGCAAAUUUUUUUGUCUUGGAAUCAGUUUUGAGAAGUUUAUUGCAACUUAUUUGACACGGAGGAAGUAUUAAUCUGCUUAUUAUAGACAAACAAGCUCAAGCUGAUGACUGAUGAGCGAGACAAAUUUAAGGCACAAGUUGAAGAUCUGUUGACAAAUGAGGAUGAACUUAAACUUACUUUUCAAUCUAUUGAGGAUAAGGUUUCGACAGAACAACAUGAAGCAGAUUAUCUUUCAAGGAGAGUAGCCAAACUGGAAGAGGAUAUGCAUGAUGUGAUAGGAAAGAUUUGCAAGGAGAAUGAGAAACAAGCAAGUUGAGAAGGAUGUGUACCUUUCAUUUUUGUGAAGCUGUAAAUCCUGUUUGUCCCUUUUGAAAGCUGAGAAGAUGUAAAUCCUGUUUGUCCCUUUUGAAGCUGAGAAGUUGUAAAUUCUGUUUGUGCCUAUUAUUUCUUAGAGAAGCAAGUUGAGAAGUUGCAAUCUCCGUCUGCACAUUUCUAGUUUGCCUUGACUGCAGCAACACCCAGAAGAGUCUAGUGUGGUACAGUUAACAAACAGAAAUUUUGGAAACUGAUGUGAUGUGAAAUAGGGGUGCAGUUUCAGAAACUUGUUUUCAUGACUAUUGACUUGAUGUCGAAUCAUCACCAUAUGUUCAAAUUAACAGAUAUCAGAACUCUUUACAUUACGAACAAAUCAUUGUCUUAAUAUGCAAAUGCAGUCAAGUUUUUAAUAGACAUUUGGCUAUCAGCGUACGCAUAUAUAUGUCAAAAUAGAAGGGUUCAGAUUUCUGUAUGCAUAAAAUGUGUACAUGUUUGUUUGACUUGCUGGUAGGGCGAUCCAGAGUAAGGGGCUUGUAAUUGAAGCUGAGACCUCAACGAUAUCAUGGAGGUUUGGAUGCUCAAGGUCCAAGUUCCACGUGUUGUAGUUCUUACAGACAUUAGGAUUUGUGAUUGUAAUCUCCUUUAUUAGUUUUAUAGUCUCCUUUAUUAGUUUUGUAAAAGUCUUAAAUUUAGAUUAUACGAUCCAAGUGUAAAAGUGUCAUUUGGAGUGAAUACCAACUUCCCUAUUAGGCUAUUAGCUUAUAUAUAGAGAUUAUUCAUAAUGUUUA